rnacentral:lncRNA from 1 species
CUCUACUGCCACCUUGUGCCACCCUACUCCUUUCAGAGCUCAGUGGAAUGUUCCCAAGUUCCUUGUGAGCGAGGAAGUCAGAAGAGCCGGCUCUGAAAAACACGGUCUCCCGUGCCCUCUCAUCCCAGCUCCUGGCAGACAGACCUCUGCUGCUUUGCAGCCAAGGCGAUUAGGUUUCUACUGCCUCUAACUCCCCACGCCAUGAAACACUACUGGCCAUCAGAGUCGGGGACAGCCGUGUUAGUGCGGGCCUGCCCACAGAUGCCUCUGGGACACCCUCGCCGGAGCAGCUGAGUCAGACUGCCUCCGGACCCGGUUGUACCUUUUCCAUUUCAGGCCUGCCUGCCCCUGGAGGAAAGCGUGCCCAUCUGACACCUUACUCGCUUGUCCCUGGCUCUCCUGGCACAUUCAUCUGCCCUUGCGGCUGCAUCUGCUCUCUGCAAUCUCCUUGCCGGGCCUGUCACCUGAUGCUCUCGUCUUUCUUGCCUGUACUGUUCCACCCAGUUCCUUCAGGUGCCUGAGGAAAGCAGAGAGCGAGCUUAUUAGCAAAGUGCUUGGUGAGGAUGGCCUCGUUCAGGUGACCUGACAAAUCCCACAUCCACACCAGUCACCAUCCUGGGAAACCAAGCACCAUCAAAGCACUGUGGGUGCAUUCAGACAUAUCCUUCAGGGGCAGACUCUGUCAUCUAUCUGAUAUCCAUAUUUCCACAGUGCUAGGGCUAGCAGCUGUGGCAUGACCAGUUUACUUCUGGAAACGGAAACAUUUCCCAGACUCCCUUGCAGCUAGAUGUGCCCAUGCAAUAAAGUACUGGCUAACAGAAU